rnacentral:rRNA from 1 species
UACGAAGGGUGCAAGCGUUACUCGGAAUUACUGGGCGUAAAGCGUGCGUAGGUGGUUCGUUAAGUCUGAUGUGAAAGCCCUGGGCUCAACCUGGGAACUGCAUUGGAUACUGGCGAUCUGGAGUGCGGUAGAGGGUAGCGGAAUUCCCGGUGUAGCAGUGAAAUGCGUAGAUAUCGGGAGGAACAUCCGUGGCGAAGGCGGCUACCUGGACCAGCACUGACACUGAGGCA